CAUGACUCUUCAUCUCACUUAGCUCUUAAAGGCAAAACUGUGAAAUCUCAAAGACAAGAGAUUAAAGAAGUCAGCCCGUCCUUUCCCAAUCCCUAGGGCCUCCUCAAAUUACCCCAGAGAAGUGAUUAGAUUCUGCACUUAACCAUCUGAAAGAACAUUUCACAACUUCUCUAGGCACGUCCCAUCUGCUGAUCAGACACUGGAUCGUACCAUCUUCAGAAACUGAAGUAUAAUAGGGAUUCUCUGUGACAUGCGUCAGGGAGCUAUUCAGAAUGUAAGCUCCGUCUGCUUGUUUACUGGUCAUCCCCAGGGCCUAGAACACCUGGCACAUGGCUAGGAACUGAUUGCUGCACUCACCUCCCAGCUCACCUGUGACCACCCAGCUGGAGACAACAGACUGCCACCCUGCUGUGUUCACCGAGACAGAAGACCUACCUGCUAUUUCCAUCAAUCGCUGUGCCGACAGAGUAGUCUCGCGACUAUUGUAAAAGGGACAUUCCAAUCAUAUGUGAAACAUCCUCUUUGAGGGUAUAUAACGACCCUGUAUACCCCCCCACCUCUUUGGAGUGCUCUGUUCCUUUGUGGAAAGACUCUCCCGGGUUAUAAUCCCCAGAUUUAAGCUCAGAAUAAACUCACCCAAAUUUUCAUUUAUAGAUUGGAUAUGGAUUAUUUUCGUCGACAGUUCGUAAUAAAAGGGCUACGACAAAUGUCCCUGAGUGGGGCUGGGGUAAAGGUAAGUUGGACAUGUUAGUUUAUCUCUUACAAACCAUAGGUGAGGUGCUCAGGCAACACGCAUCUCGCAUUUCGUUCACAUUCUAAUCCCCGGGGUGGGCUGCGAGUCUGCCUAUAAUGCUCCAGUUCACACACACUUGGAGUGCCUCUUUUAUCCUCC
rnacentral:lncRNA from 1 species